AUUUAAAUAGCUUAAUUAAAGAGCAUAACAUUGAAGAUGUUAAGGUGAUUAUAAAAUCUUUAAAUA
rnacentral:tRNA from 1 species